AUGGCCUGGGCUCUGCUUCUUGUCACCCUUCUCACUCAGGGCACAGGGUCCUGGGCCCAGUCUGGCCUGACUCAGCCUCCCUCAGUGUCCGGGAAUCCGGGACAGACAGUCACCAUCUCCUGUGCUGGAACCAGCAGUGACAUCAGGGGUUAUAACUAUGUCGGCUGGUACCAACAGCGCCCAGGCACGGCCCCCAAAACCUUGAUUUAUGGUGUCAAUAAACGACCCUCAGGGAUCCCUGAUCGCUCCUCUGGCUCCAAGUCUGGGAACACGGCCUCCCUGACCAUCUCUGGGCUCCAGGCUGAGGACGAGGCUGAUUAUUACUGUAGCUCCGGUAGUAGUAGCACUGGAUCGUUCGGGACAGACUCUGUUCUCAGGCCUGUCUCUCUCCUGGCAUCAUGA